ACCUCGAUGCGGCCAUUGGCGGCGGCGAUGUGGAGGACGGAGAGGCGGUCGUAGAGGGUGGCGCGGCGAGCGAGGGAAGGGUCGGCGGCGAGGAGGGCGGCCAGGGCGUCGAGGUCGCCGAGCUGCGCCGCCCGGAAGAAGUCGUGCUCGUCGCCGGUGCGGGCGCAGCUGACACCGUGACCCAUGGCCGC
rnacentral:sRNA from 1 species